GACGAACGCUGACGGCGUGCUUAACACAUGCAAGUCGAACGGUGAAGCGCCUUCCUUUUUGGUGGGUGUGGAUGAGUGGCGAACGGGUGAGUAACACGUGAGUAACCUGCCCCCUUCUUCUGGAUAACCGCAUGAAAGUGUGGCUAAUACGGGAUAUUCUGGGUCUGUCGCAUGAUGGGUCUGGGAAAGAUAUUGUUUCGGUGGGGGAUGGGCUCGCGGCCUAUCAGCUUGUUGGUGGGGUGAUGGCCUACCAAGGCGGUGACGGGUAGCCGGCCUGAGAGGGUGGACGGUCACACUGGGACUGAGACACGGCCCAGACUCCUACGGGAGGCAGCAGCGGGGAAUAUUGCACAAUGGGCGCAAGCCUGAUGCAGCGACGCCGCGUGAGGGAUGGAGGCCUUCGGGUUGUGAACCUCUUUCGCCAGUGAAGCAGGCCUGCCUCGUUUGUGGGUGGGUUGACGGUAGCUGGAUAAGAAGCGCCGGCUAACUACGUG
rnacentral:rRNA from 1 species